rnacentral:lncRNA from 1 species
AAAAUGCAAAAUACAAAAAAGUUAUCAAUUUUCAAUCUUGAUUUUCUUUUUAGUAAACGAUUUGUCAUCAAUGCUCGUUAUAACAAUGUUUAUGUCUUCUUCCAGGUAGACUUCAUCUACAAUAAACCUUGUUGACAGUCAAGAUGUGUCAUUGAUUUUAUUAAUCUUUGUAAGGAACACGUGUCACUUCCCAUAACAAUGGAUCAAUCUUUCAUAGAACAUACUAUUCAUGCUUUCUUGAAAACAUAAAAUUGACCAAAUUAGAUAGUAAGAUUUUUUUUUUCCCUUCCUACUUUGUUAGAAGUAAAAAAAUUAAUAAAGUCAGUUAUUGGGCACCCAAUGAGACUUUCAGUAGCACCAAACAAGGUUAAAAUAGUUUGGUAGGUUCCAUUAGGAAUUGUAAGUCUAACCAUAUACCUAUAUUAAUGUUAAAGUUAGUAAGGAAGUUUGAAAAUUCCAAUAAACAUCAGUAAUGAAGUCAAUAAUCAAUAUACAAAAAAUGAUAUUAACUCGGACAAUGAUCUAUAGUAGUGUUGCAACAUUUUGUCCAUUCUACUCUUUCAUCAUUUAACAACACUUUCUUAUUACAUUUUUUACAUGCAUUGUAACAAGGUCCAUUCAUAUUAUGAAUAUGAAGUAUUGUUGCUCUGAAGGAACAAUAGAAUUUCUACAAAUUUGCAUAAACAAUAUUAAUAUUAAUUUGAGUAUUAUAAUGAAUUAAAUGUAGAUAUAUCCUUUUUUAUGAUAUCACAAACCUGGAAUUCGAAAAAUGGUCUUUCUAAUAAGUGUUAUUUGUUUUGAGUCAAUAAAAUUUAAUGAAUUAGAAGCGCUUGACAAACUUGCACUUGAAAUAGGUGUUGGCCUAAAAAUAAAGUUUGUCGCAAUAUUAGGGUAUGUUAGGUUGUUGUUUCCAAAAAUUGUUUUUCAUACUCAAAAAUACGUUUGACAAUUGUUCCCCGUGUUUUCAAAUUUGUUCUUUGUGUUCUCAAUUUGAUGUUUUUGGAGAACAAUCUCAAGUUGUUUUCCCUGUUUUCUAUACUAUGAAUUGAACAAAAAAAACACACAUAAAAAAUCACAAAAAAAAAAACAAUUGUCGAGAACAAAAAAAAACACAUUCUUAGAUCAUAAAUCACAAAUCCUCAAAAAAUGCAUCAUACAACAAAUUGAACCACAUCCCAAAUCCACACACAAAGAACAAAUCCUCAAAUUUGUGUUUUGAAAUUUUUUUUUUUUCCAAUUUCCUUUUCCAAAUGAGAAAAUUGAUCGAUGACAAUGUUGGUGGUGGUGGCAACGCUACAAUCUAAACUUUACAUGGGGCAACAAAGGUGGGUAAAUAUGUGUGUUUGUGUGUGUGUGUGUGUGUGUGUGUGUGUGUGUGUGUGUGUGUGUGUUUGUGUGUGUGUGUGUGUGUGAGAGAGAGAGAGAGAGAGAGAAAGAAAGAAAGAGACAUAUAAGAAGAGUGGAGAAAUGAAGGUAAUGAAAUGAAAGAGAAAGAGAGAAGAGUGGUGUUGGCAUCUUAGAUCUAAGCAAUGGAAGCAAUACCAUUUUUUUUUUUAAAAUUGAUAUUUUAGGGUUAAAGUACUAAUCUUUAGGUUUAGAUGUUCCCAAACCUUAAAUUUCAAUUGUUGAAUACAACCUUAAAGUUGUUGAAAGUCUUAUAAACCCAUGAUCUUCCGCCUGAUGAUUCAACCUUAUUCUUGGCACACUUUCGGUGGGGAAGAAAUGAGGGUGGAGGCUAUGGCUCUCUCUAUGUGGAUGAUGGAAGACAAGUUAUAGAAACCCUAACCCUUAGGGGGUAUUUAUAGGGUUCCUAAUUAGGCUUAAGUGACUUGAGCCUACAUGGGCUUGGGUCACUUAAUUUAGCCCAAAAUGGGUCCUAAUUGAUUAAUUAACCUAAUAUGGUAUACUCUAAUUGAUUAAUUAACCUAAUAUGAUCUACUAAUUUAUCAAUUAGUCUAAUCUAGAGACCUUGUUUACUUACCCUUAUGCAAUCUUAUAUAAUUACCAAAACACCCUUAUGCACAAAGUGAACCUAAAGCCAAUCCGACCCUCACAAUCCAUGCCAACAAAAUAAAUCAGCUCAAAAUGGGAACUACUAGGACCCAUAGGAGUACUAGCACCCUCAAAAUCCAAUUCUAAAGUUGAUUCAACAUCUCACUACAGAGAAUCAACUGAACUUCAGUAUCCUAUGUAAAUAACAACAAGACACUACAUGCUCGGGUCCAUAACCUGUUAUCCAUUGUGUCAUGUCUCCCCAUGAAUCGGUGUUCAUAGUCUAACAAGUUGAAAACUAUCAGCCUUUCAAGACUACAUUUACUAUCCUUGAGUUACAAAUCCUCUUAUUGUGUAUUCAACUAACAUGUCUUAGCUUUUAAAGAGCUUAUAUCAACUUUCAUUUAAGGAACUAAUAUGGUCAUAGUUUCCAUGAACACACCUCCUUAGGAUCACCCAAGAGGACACACUGUCUCAAUCCCAAGAGAUAUCAUGUUGUCUCUAUUGAGAAUACCUAUUGUUACCGGUUUCCAUCAACAAUGACCCAAUCCAUAGGGAAUAUAUGAUUAGCUUUCGAUAUCACCCGUAGGUAAAAUUCAUUACUAACUUUAGCAUAAGCUCAAUAUUAUCUCAAGGUUGAGAGACAAAAUAAUGAAGCAGCUUUGUGAGGUCAUGACUACUUGAUAGUCUUAAGUCAUGACUCACCAUAGGUCAUAUCCAAUGUGUAACUAUACGCACUAGUGCACUCACCAUGGGAAACCCAUAUUGAUAGCCAAGACCAAUCAUCCCUCCAAUUAGGAAGUGGUGCACCACAACCUCUAAUGGGUUGCCUAGACCCAUGAAUCAGUUGUGAACAAGUCAUCUAUUUACAAGGAACCCAUGACUUAGAUCUUUUAUGCAACUCCUAAUGCACCUAAGUCACAUACAAUGCAAAAGAUGUAAGUAAGAAUGCUCAUAAAGUAUAAUACAUGAAAUAAGGAUAGAUAAAAGUGAAACUAAAACAUCAUUAAAUAAAUAAUAAAUUCUAAAUUUAUUACAUCAUGUCAUGUUUUUAAGAGCUCUAUCCUAACAAGUGGAUUUAGUGGAAAGAGGAACCAUGAGAAGAGAAAUAAAGAUAUUGUGAAAGAGAUCUCAAAGGAUGAAGAAGAAGAUGAAAAUGAAAAAAUAAUUUGAGAGUAAGGAGUCAGUAUGCAAAAGGUUUUUUUAAAAAAAUAAAAUAAAAAAUAAAAAAUGAUUAAAAAAACAAUUUUUAGUAUAUCAUUACAUCAAUAAGUGUGACCAAGAGCUCCAUAUUUCUUUAUCAAAACAAGGAGAUUAACCUUCACAAUGACUAAUAUAUCUACAAGGACAUAUGAGAACAUAAAAAUUGUCAGCAUCUUAAAAGUGAAAUAUGUUUUUUUUUAAUAAUAAUUACCAAUUAAAUUAUUAGCCUUUAAAUGAUAUUGAAGGUCCUUAAGCUUGAUAAAAUUAUAUAGACCAUGUGAUAUAUCAUUGUCAGUUAUAGUCUCAUCCACUCAACUAUAGGCAUAUAACAUUAGCUCAAGGAUCAUGUACAUCUAGAAAAUUGUUGUUCACUUGUUUUGUCAAUCCAUUUGCAAUGAAGCAUGUUUUUCAUUUGAUAAAAUCAUUCUCAAACAUGUCAAUCACAUCAUUGAAUAAGACAACUUGCACUUAUGUACCCUAUAAGAGGAUAAAAAGAUAUUUUUAACUCAAACUUGAAGUAUGCAAAAAGUAAAUCAAAGUUUUUUUUUGUGGAAAUUAAUCGAGAUUAAAAAUAGGAAGGGGAAAAGUAUAAUUAUAAAUAAAUUUUAUCAGACCUUAUCAUCCAUAAGUAUUAUCUUCCAAAUUUUCUCAGACGCAUUGAAUUUUUAUACUACUCUAUUCAUCCACGAUAAAGUGCAAGCACUUUUAUGGUCUAAUCUCUAUGAAAAGGUUUAAGCAAGCUAAGAGAAAUAAAACCUCAAGUAUCCAUUUCUUUAUUAGACAUUAUGCUUGCAUAAAAAGUGAAGAGAAUAAAAAAUUAGUUUGAAUAAAGAUGAUACUGGUGUGUAAUAAGAGUAGUAAUUAAAAUAACGAAAACUUUAAAAUAUUCAUGGGUUCAUUACCUUUAUGGGAUAAGAACUUUUUUAUACACCAUAUUUUUUUGUAGAAGAUCUAUUUAUAAUAGCAACAUAUGGGAAUGGCAUCUUUGAUGAGGACUUUUGUUGUUGACAUUCAAGUUUUACAUGAUAAUACAACUUAUAAUUGACCAUGUGAAAAGGCAUGUUGAGGUAAAUAUACUCCGACAUAUAGAAUUGUUUGACCUUGUGUUUUGUUUAUAGUCAUUGCAAAACUAAAUCAAAUUGGCAACUGAGUGUGUUUAAAAUGGAAAGGAUAUCCUUUAUUUUAGGUUGGUGAAAGAGAUAUUCUUAGUAAUAGCACUUACCUUUCAGCAUAUUGUCUUAUUGUAAUUUCUACAUAUAUUACAUUUGACUCAAAAUCUUUACAAACCAUUCUAGUCACAUUACAAAGUCCAUUUGAUAUAUCUAACUUCCUUAGGAGCAUGAUAGGGAAAUUCUUCUAUAUAUAUAUAUAUAUAUAUAUGAUGGACCAAUAAAUAAAAUAAGAUAUAGUACAAGUAUAAAUAAGGUUAUGGUCCCUGUUCUAAAUAGAACGUAUUGCUUUAGAUGUGGAAGACCGAAAACUCCACUAUUGCACUUCAACUAAUACAAGUAUGUCUUCCUAUUAAUUUUCUUGAUGAUUUACAUGAGAUUUUGGCAUGAUGAAUAAAGUUUUUAUCAUCUAUCAAUUUUUUAACAAUUAACACAUAUUUUAUUAUUAACUAAUAUAGCUAAUUUUAUAAUACAUAUACUAUUUUAUUAAAAAAAUAAUUAUUAUUAUUUUAAAUUUAUGAAAAUUCUUGUUAAGCUAAAAUUAUCCAUAAAACAUUAAAGAUAUUUUCUUCUUUUUUUCUUGAGUUUUUCUAUCCUUUCUUAUCCAGAACAUAGUCUUUCAUAACUAUCCUCCACAUCAAAUGUUACAUUGUUGCUUUAUUUAUUUUCCAUUUUCUUUUAUUGUUGAUAAUUGAUUUUUUUUUAAAAAACAAAAAAUAAAAAAAUGUUGAUAGAUGGGUCCUAAAAUUCUACAAUCUUUUCGUGGAUAAAAGUGAAAUAAUCAUUUGAGUUGUAAAAGUUGUUUUCUAUCCCAUCCCAAAGUCUAAAGGAAAAUUUUCUUUUAUUUGUUCUACUCAAUGAUUCACCAUUCAAAUGACUACUUUGAGCAUAUCUAUGAUGGAGGAUUAGAUCAAGACCAGUUGGAAAAAAACUUUUCUUUUCCUUCUUCAUGAAAUAGUAUGACCACUAAUGUAUAGAAAUGCAUACUAUGAAGUUAUAAUCAUCCAAUCAAACCAUCCUAUGGCCUAGUGGAUUUUCUAAAUUCCAAAACCAUCUCAUUUUUACUACAAAUUACAAAGACAGGUCUCUAGCCAGGUAGGAAUAAUAAGAAGUGGAACUACAGGGAUGAAAAUGGUAUGGAGGAUGAGUAAGCCAAUUUUUGGAUCCAAUUCCCCACAUACCCACCAAAUUGUGAAAAUGUGAUGAAUUAGUAAACAAGGUCAUGUUAGGCUAAGUUUGUCCAACCUAUGAGCUCAUGUAUUAAAUUAUUUUAUAUUUGGGUAUUCCCUAAUCCCAAAUAUAAAUAACAUUUGGGCUUUUCUAUAAUGAAAAAAAAAAGUGAUUGAGAAAAUGUAAGAAAAUUAGGGUUAUUUUCUGGGCACUGUUCUAGGGCUCAAAGGUGAAGUUACAAGUUCUUUCAUCAACUUGGAGGGUUUUUCCAUGUUAUAUUUGGUGUUCCCUUUUUUAUUUGAAUGUUCUUGGAUUAUUAUUGUUCAUUCUUGUUAGGUUGUUAUUAUUGUUGAGUGAUGGUUAUUUUUGUAGAGAAAUCUUUUAACCAUGGUAGAUGAAUACUCUAUAUCUCUCCUUUUAACUUCCCAACAAGUGGUAUCAGAGACAAAUUGUGGGAACUCUUUUAUUUGAAAAAGAUAGAAAUGGAAGGAAACUUAACCACUAUGGUAAAACUUAACAAAUCAAAUUGGGCUAUGUGAAUGUCCAUGAUGGAAAAUUUUCUCACCAUCAAAGAUUUGUCAGAUAUUCUUGAGGGUGAAAAAGCCAGACCUAAAGAUAUUUCUGAUUUGGAAUGGAAUAAAAUGAAAAAAAAAAAUGCAAUUGCUUACAUUAGGCAAUGGAUUGAUAUAUCCUCAUGUCAUCAUAUGGCAAAUGAAACAAAUGUCUAUAAUCUUUAGAAGAAAUUGGAGUUAGUGUUUGAACAAAAAAACUGUUGGGAGUAGAAUUUUUUUGUUAAAGAAGUUAGUGAACAUAAAGUUAAAAGAAGGAACACCAAUGACAGAUCACUUGAAUUCUUUUCAGAGUAUUGUACAUCAAUUGGUUGCUAUGAAAAUGGUUAUUGAUGAUGAGAUGCAAGCAUCCUUGUUGCUUUGCUCAUAUACCUUAAUGUCUCAAUGUAUGAGGGUUGCAUGGGUUCUAGGUUCACUAAUGUGCAUAAGGACAUUUUGGUAUUUAAACAAAGUUGCAUAGGGGUAAGUGAAAGGUAUCUUUGGAAUAGGCUAAUUGAUUAAUUAGACAACCCUAUUAGGUUAAUUAAUCAAUUUAGACCCAUUUUGGAUUAGAUAAAGUGACAUAAGCCCUUAAUAGGCUCAAGUCACUUAAGUCUAGUGGCAAUAAAUACUACCUUAGGGGAUAGGGUUUCUAGUUAAUUAUCUUCUACCAUCAUAGUAGAGAGCCAUAGCCUUUACCCUCUCAUACCUCCCCAUCGAUUGUAUGUCAAGAUUGAGUUAGAGUCAUUGGGUAAAAGAUCUUGGGUGUACAAGACCUCUAGAGACGUCAUACUUUAUCUCUACCACACAAAUUUUAUUUAAGAACAUCUAAAUUAAGGUAACUUUUUUUAUUGCACUUUAAUCUAAAUCCAUAUUGUUUAAAAAAAUGUAUGCUUUGCCUUUGUUGCAUAGGAUUUAAAAGUCUUAGUGAGUUUUCAUGCUCCUAGCCUAAGCUUAGGAUAAGGAAUAGAGAGAGUCGGGAUUUUGUAGAUGUGUUCUCAUGGGUGAUCCUAAGAACGUGUGUUCAAGUAAACUAUGUCAUAGUAAUUCCCUACGUAGAACUUGACAUUUACUUUUAGUGAGCUAAGACAUGUCAAUUGAUCACACUAUAAGAGGAUUUGAAACUCAAGGAUAGUAGAGGUAAUCUUAAGAGACUAAUAGCUUUCACCUUAUUAAACUACGAACAUCAAUUCAUGGGUAGAUUGCAUACAAUAGAUGGUAGGUCAUGAACUUGAGCACUUAGUGUCUCGUUAUUAUUUACAUAGGGUAUUGGAGUGAAGUUUAUUCUCUAUAGCAAGAUGUUAAAUCAACUCCAUAAUUGGAUUAUGAGGGAGCCAAUAUUAUCUUAUGGGUCCCAUUGGUCCCUACUUGGGUUCAUAUACUUUGAUAGCAUGGUUUAUGAGGAUUAGAUUAGUUCUGGGUUCACUUAUAUGCAUAAAGGCAUUUUAGUAAUUAUGCAAGGUUGCACAAGGGUUAGUAAAUGAUGUAUUUGGAUUGAGCUAAUUGAUUAAUUAAAUAGCCUUAUUAGGUUAAUUAAUCAAUUAGAACUCUCUUUAAGCUAGAUUAAGUGACCCAAGCUUAAAAUGGGCUCAAGUCACUUAAACCUAGUAAGAACCUUAUAAAUAUCUUUUUAAGGGUUAGGGUUUCAUCUUCUUCCAUUCAUUCUCUACAUUUCAAAGAAAGAGCCUAGUCAUCACCCUCCAAACCUCCAUCGUUUGAGUGUCUAGCAUUAAGGAAGAGUCGUCAAUCAGAAGAUUGCAGGUUUACAAGAUCUCCAGCGAUUUUGAAAUUGUUCUUUACCACAAAAAAACAAUUUGGGAACAUCUAAAUCAUUGGUAAGCACUCUAAUAUCAUUUUCUAAAUUAAAUCCUAGAUUGUUUUUUUAAUGCAUAUUUUGCAUUGUGCAUAGGAUUAAAUAAGUAUAAAGAGAAUUGCAUGCACUUAAGGUGAUUUUGGGAUAUGGAACAAAGUAAUCCGAAAUUCCCUUCAAAAUUUUGAUUUUAAAAACCUUAUUUUUUUAUAUACUCGUGAAUUGAAAAUUUAUUAUCUAAUUGACAUUUUGAAUGAUAGUUGAGUUGCGAAAUAAUUCAACAUGUUGAAUUAUGCAUGUACGAGGAUAUUAUGAUAAUCUAUGAUGAUUGAAUGAAAAAUCCGAUGACUAAUAUGCUAAAAGUUGUUGUUCAUAGUUGAGAUAUACUCCAUUGUGUUGUGAUAUACUCAUUUUUGCUGGAACUAACUUGAUAUGUAGCAUGAGCAAUAUGAAGCAUGCUAAGGCAUUGAAAAAAAAUUGAAUUUUAAGGCACCAUGAUGGUUGGCAUGGAAACAAAUAAUAAGGGGGAACGUUUUUUUAUGAGUCCCUAAAAGAAGAAGGGUAAAAUAUCCUAGGGUGAAAGAUCUCAAAACAUCCCUGAGAAGAUCCAUGAGUGGAGAUAUAAUAGGAGGCAUAGACAUUAUGUCUUUGAGUGAGAGUCCCUAAAAUAUAGGUACUGUGGCUAUAAUAUGAAAAAUAUAUGAAUCAAAAGAAAAUGACAAUUCCUUUUUUCUAUUGGUUUUUCCUACUUAGAAAACAAUGAAAACAAAUUAUAACUUUAAGAAAUGAAGAAAGACAUCAAUUAGCAAUAAAACACUCAGAAAAUGUUUAAAAAAAAAUUUUAACAAUAACCUCAGAAUUAGGUUCCCAACCACCCUUAAAUAAUCAUCAAUUUAAUUUUGAUAAUAAUUCAAUUUUUGUCUUACCCUUCAAAAUCCCAAGAACAAAAAAUGAACAAAGUCCCAUAAUUUACAAAGAUAUUAGACAAGUUCAACAACAAUUAAAUUAUACAAAUCAUUCUCUUCAACAUUUAAAUCAACAAACAACAAAAAUUUCUUAAUUUUUUGUUUCCUUCUGCCACGGGAAGGAGAUAGGAGAAACAUCAAAAUCAAAUUUUUCUUCAAAAUUUUCUCCAACUUUAUCAUCAUCAUCAUCAUAUUCUUCUGAUAAGCUUUUAGAUCAACCUUUUAUUAUUCCUAUAAAUGCUGCAAAAUCAAAUAUACAACUAGCUAUACCAACAGAAACAAUGUUAAAAGAAAUACAACUUAGAUUAGAUAAACUCAGUAUUAAUGGUAUUAAUCAAAAUAAGAAUCAAAUUCAAACUAUAACAAAAGGAAAAUCAGAAAUCAAUAAAAUAGAAGAACAAUUCAAAAUGUCUCCUAAUUCAAUAGUGAAACCCCCUGCAACAGUCAAUGCAAUUUCUAAUAAUUUUGUAAGUAGAAAAAAUUAUUAUUCAAAACCCUCUUUUCCUGAUGUUCAAUUAGAAGAAAGAAAUUAUCAAUUAUCUACUAGUUAUGAUGGUAGUAUUUUUUAUGAAUGGAAUAUAGAUGGAAUGAGUGAACAUCAAAUAAUUAAUUUACUUCAUGAAAUGAUGAUGGCUGCUAAUGCUUAUAGAAUCAAGACUAGUACAUCUGACUUUCAUGCUACUGGUGCCUUAGUCAUAGGAUUCACUGGUUUACUUAAAGGUUGGUGGGAUCAUUAUUUAAGUCAAAAUGAUAGAGAAUACAUAUUAAAUCCAAAAAAGACAAUAAUCAAAGAAGAAGGAACACCAAUCCAAUCUUAUGAAGAAGACGUUGUCAAUACGUUAAUAUUUGCAAUAACAAAACAUUUUAUAGGAGAUCCUGUCUAUUUUCAAGAAAGAACUUCUAAAAUCCUUAAUAAUCUUAGAUGUCUAAAACUUCAAGAUUUUAAGUGGUAUAAAUAUAUGUUUUUAGUCAAAGUUAUGUCAAGACAUGAUUGUGGAAGUCAUUAUUGGAAAGAAAAAUUUAUAUCUAGUUUACCAACUUUAUUUGCAGAAAAUAUUAGACAAAGAAUAAGAAAUAUUCAUAAUGGAAGAAUUCCUUAUGAGUCAUUAACAUAUGGAGAAUUAAUUACUUUCAUCAAUAAUGAAGGUUUAGUUCUUUGUAUAUAUCUCAAAUGAAAGAGUCAAAUGAAAAAGGAAAAACAAGAUAGUAAAAAAGAAUUAGGAAAAUUUUGUUCGUGUUAUGGUUAUGAUACAAUAAUAGCCUCUUCAAAAAGAAAAAAUAAACAAAGUAAUAUAAUAGGUAUAAAAAAAAAAACCCUCAACAAAGUCAAAAUUCCAAAAGAAAUUUGUAAAAUUUAAUCCUAAUGAAAGAAAAUCUUCAAAUAAAUCAACUUUAAAAAAAAAAAAAAAAACCACAUGUUAUAAAUGUGGAAAAAUAGGUCAUUACUCAAAAGAUUGUCAAUUGGAAAAUAAGAUUAAUUCAUUAGAAAUAAGUGAUAGACUAAAAAAUUUAAUGAUAGGAGUAAUGAUUGAUAAACAAAAUGAAGAUUUUAGUGAAAAUUAUGAAUCAGAAGAAGAUAAUCAAAUAUUAAUAACAUAAGAAAUAUCAAGUGAAGAGUCUAGUCAAGAUGAAGAAGAAUCAAAUGAUAAAAAAUAUUGUGAUGGUAUUUGUGCAUGUUCAUAUAAAUCAAUAAAUUUGAUUUCAAAAAAUCCAAAAACUCCUUUAAAUAUUCUUAUUCAUAAUUAUGUGCCCCUUAUCAAUUCAAUAUAUUUUCAAUUUUGGUAUAUUAAAGAGAAACUCAUUAUAUGUAUUAUUCAUGCUUCAAAAGAGGUACUAAAUUUUGAAUUUUCUCUACAAAUGGAGCAAGAAUAGAUUAAGUUUGGGAAAUUCACUCUUCCAAUGUUUCCUAAAAAUAAUAUGUCAUUUCGGAUUCAUAAAGAUAUAGAAGGUUUAGACAGAUCACAAAAAUGCAUUUUAGACAACCUUUGGAAUGCAAAAAGUGAUAUUCAAAAGUUGGAAGCUUUAAAUGUUUUAUCUUUUCAUUUUAAACAAAUAAAUGAUAAUUUAGACAAUUUUCCUAACCCUUCAAGUUGUGAUAUGCAUUGCAUCCCAAUGGAAAUAAAUCUUGAAAGUUCAAUUGCAAGAAAAAUGUAAAAGAAUCUAAAGCUACAUUUUCAAAAUCUUUUCAAAAUGAAUUUUCAACACUUUCUAAUGAAAGCCUAGAAUUUCAAAAAUCAAGAUUUUCAUUUUUCAGACAAAAGAAUUUGAAUCUUCCUCAAGACCUUAUAUAGAUAAUCAGUCAAAAGACUCAAGCUAUAAGGGAAACUAAGAAAGAGUAUAUCAUGCAAUUUCUUGCUGACUGAUUCGUCCCUAGCAGCGGCAUUGGCAAUGGCACCAUUUGAUUCGAGGUUCGAUCCCCGGCAACGGCGCCAUUUGAUUCGUGCCCACUUGGUGUCUCAGCUGAUUCGUGUCCAGCUGGUGCUCCUUGAUUGAGGGAUUGAUCAACAAAAUUUAUAACCUAUUACACCAUAUACUAGGGUAGCAAAGACAAAGCUACUAUAGUAUAGUGGCUCUAGGAUCGUUCACUGGGAUGGGUUUUCACUUCACAAAUGAUAUCAAUUCAAAGCUGAAUCGGUGCCUUUUCAUUUCAAGGUUAGCUUUAAAAGAAAACAUAAAGAUGUUUGAAUGAAAAAAGUUUGGUUUUAAACUAACCAAAAAUAGUAACUGAUUUUAACUACAAAGAAAAAUGUUUCUUGGAGUUUAGAUCACUAGGCUCAGGUUCCUCAUACAAAAAGGGAGUUCCGGUCACUUGUUUCUUUUCCUUGCAUUAGAGAAUUAACAUAUAGUUAAUUCUCUAACCGGUGUUGUACAGAUGCUUCCCAUUAAUGGGUUCAAACACUAAAUCCCUCUCACUGAUGCAACUUGCAAUGGUUCAUGCCUCUCACGAGCACUUACCAUUCAAGAUGAUCUUUAACCUUGGACUUCCCUUCAAAAGCUCGCAAGAGAUAACUAAUGGAUGUCUCCUUGGAGUCCAAAAGCUUACCAAGUGUUGGCAAUUCUAGAAAAUCCUACCUUCAAACCACCUACCAAAGGCUCGCAAGGGGUAAACUAGUGCAUUUCCAUGGUUGGAAAUCACUUGCCUUACCAAGUGUUGGCCCAGGUGAAUUAAAGGCGUUUUAAGUUAACUAAAAAGAUAAAAACCAUUAACAGGUUACACUUUCUCUUCAUUAAAAACUAAAACAACAAAACUUCCAAAUUAUACAUGUGGAAACUUACCCGGCUUUCCUUACUCCAAGAGACAAAGAGCCUAGCCUCUCAUCCUCUGAGGAAAAAUCCUCAAAGUUUGGUUGGCUAGAAAGAAAAUGAAAAUGAAAAAUGAAAGAGAAAGAAGAACAGAGCAAGGCUCUGUAUAUUCUAUAUAUUGUCGAUAUUACAUAUAUGGUUCUCCAAGCGUCUUUUUACAGUGGAUGCAAGAGAGUUUAUAUAGGAAGGUAAUUUACCCUUCCUUGGCUACUUCCUAGCUAAGGAAUUACAUGAGUGGCUGAAUACAAGGAGAAAAUGGAAAUUUAUACAAAAAUAUCUGAAGAAAAAUAUCCAAAAGAGUCGGUGGCAAAUAUCGGGAAGCAUUAAGGACCAUUUCGCAGGUGAAAAUGGUGUCUGCGAGAUUUCGCAGACACCCAAGAGGGCUGCGAAAUCACUUCGCAGCAACAAGCUAUCCUCGUAGGGCUGCGAAGUUGGCUUCCACCUUGAGGUUCUCAACUUCCAGCUUGCGGCAUGUAUCGGGUAGCUUCAGGAGGAAUUCCAUAGCACUGUACAAAAAGGCUGCGAAAUUCUCGCAACAAAAGGCUGAUUUCGCAACACUUUGGAGUGAUCUUCUUGCAAUGGCUGUAACUCCUUCAUUUCAACUCCAAAUCACGCACCGUUUGAAGCAUUGGAUUCUUGACUUCCUGAGCUUUGAAAUGGUAUAUAGAAUAUAGAAAAUGGACUUCGGGAAGUGCUCCAAAAGUGCAUAUGAAGACUGCAGCUGGCUUUCCUCUGUUUUCUUCACUCUGUUUUUCCUUUCUCCUUGCUUCUCUCCUUGCAUACUUUGAACGACUUUGGCAAAGAGCUAUGGAGCUCCAAAGCUUGGUUCUUCAUGAAUUUGAGCUUCCAUAAGCUUUGCCAUGGAUUCCAAAUAACUCUCCUCAAUCUUGGAUUGUUUUGGUGAUCAAAUUACUAACAAAAACACCAAAACUUACACAAUUUGAUUAGAAAUGAUUGCAAGGGUCCUUAACAUGUUAAUUGAGUUAAAAGGCAAUAACUACUACUCAAAAGUGUUUAAAAGGAUUAAUUACAAGCUACAAAAUAGCACUUUUUGAGUAGUAAUCACUGACUGUAGCACUUUUGGAGUUACUAUUCAAGGGAUGAGUUUCACUUGGAUUCCUCAUUAUGGCAACACCAAUAAUGAUUGUCCAAAGAUUGAUCCCUUGUGUAGGGUAAUUCCACUAGAAAGGCAUGACUGUAAGUGUGCUCUUACUUAUAGUAUUUCCAAAGCUAACAUAGACUUAGACAAUUACAGGCCGAUAGUCAUCAAAUUCAAUAAUGAGUCAAUAAAGCUAACUCUUGCUCUCAUCAUGGAUUAUGGAGUGCUUUAUCAACUAAUUUUCUCCCAUCCUGAUCAAACUGAUGGAUUUGAAAAAAAGUUAGCAAUUUUUGUUUUAAAUACCUUCAUCAAAGAUUUCAAAUCAGUUGAACUCCUUAUAGAAAGCAAGUCUCCUAAAUGGUCGAAUGAUAGAGGAGUUUACCCUACUCAACAUCUCAUCAUUUUCAAAGUCAAUCAGAGAAAACAUCAAUUGUUUGGUAUAGAGAUCCCUUGACCUUGUGCUAAAUUUAGCCUAAAAAAAUAAAUCAGACUCUGGAGAUCAAGAAUGAUUGCCAGAAACCUUGAUUUUGAGAUUUAUAGUUCUUCUAACUAUAAUCUCAUUGCUAAAGACAAUAUUCAAAAUAUCAUUUCUACAAAUGAUUUACUAGAAGUCCCUUUUUUGUUCCAGACUCAAUUUUCUUAUCAUGUUGAUAAAUACAAAAAUGAUUACGUCCAUGAAAGGAAACUCAACAAGUUUUUGAGAAAUAUAUCUUAGAAAUGCUCAAUUAAGAGAUAUCAAGAAUCUUUUAUAAAUUUAUAUCUUUGUACAUUUUUCCCCUUGUAUUUAACCAGAAAAAAAAAGUAUGUAAAAAAAAUUUGUGAAGAAUGCAUAAAAAAAAAAAAAAAAAAUCAAUCAUAAAGUAAUGAAUAGUGUUUUUUUGUCUACUACUAUGACUUUCAAAAAACUACGGAAGAAAAUGAAGAGGAAUAGAAUUUAUUCUCUUCUAACAAUAGAAAAGAAUCUCACCUCCUUUCUACAUACUUCAAAAACCAAAGCUUCAGUUGUCCUAACACAUGGUGACAGAUUUCAAAAAAAUUUCAAGCGUAAAAACUCAAGUCCGACUUCAUCAUCUAUAAAUAGAGAAGCCAACUUCCUCAUAAGGCAAAGUUGGAAAUCCUGAGAGCUCAAGAGUGCUAGCAAAGAGUGUUCUAAAGAAUUCUCUCUUGCUUUUGUAAUCUCCUCUUUCAAAAAAUUCUAGUCCUUUGUAUCCAUCUCUUUUAGUCAUCCAUUUAAUGUCAACAAGCCUGUAAUAAAAAAAGUCUCUGUAAUCAAGGUAUAUUUUCAAUAAAAGUUAUUUUUAGAUUCAAAUAUCUUUGUUUUUAUGUUUAAAUUUUUGCAAUAAAUUAGACAGUAAUUAUUCAUGUUUUUAUGCUUGGAGUUCAUUAGACAAAAUUAAUUUGUUGUGUGCAUGAACUGUUAUAUGUCUUGGGUAUGAAUGAUAUCAGAACCACAUUCUGCUUGAGAACCGAGUGGUGUUAUGAGUUGGAACAGUAAUUAAUCACUAAUUUAGUCCUGACUUAGUUCAAAUUGAAUUUCUUGUGAAUGGCUUGGUCAGCCUAGAUAGUGGUGUUUAAGGGCAAAAGGAGCGUAAGUCCCGUGUUGAUCCGCUUGUGGUGGUCCCUGUUUAGGAAAUUAUUUGAAAUGAUUAAGGACAAGGUUGUGGUUAUUUUCUGUGACAAUUAGUAAUAUUAUAAGGGAAUUAAGUAGAGCUAGUUGUUCCAGAUCUCUUAGGUCUAAUGAUAGUUCUACAUCUGCACCAAAUAGUUCUACAUAUAAUUUAGAAAGUUCUUCAUAUGAGAUAAAUAUAUUUACAAAUUUAUUACCUGCAUCAUUAGUUGCAUCAUCACCUGCAUCAUCAACUACAUCAUCAUAUAGUCAUCAUAUAAAAUUUAAUAAUUCAAAGUUAGAUGAAGAAUUGAAUCAAAUAGAAAAUCAACUAAAAAAUAUGUCAAACUUUGUUUAAGAAAUUCCUCUUUUUGAAGAAGAGUCUGAGUCAAAUAUUUUCUGUAAUCAUGAUAAACCUUUUUUAAACAUAAACAUCAUUAGAAAAAGAUAUAUUAAAUGAAAUCCUUUUGUUCUUGAUAUACAAUGGAUUAAAUCAUAUUAUUUUUCUCCUUAAAAUAAUGUAAAAAGAAAUUAUUUUCAACAACUUCCUCCUCAAGUUAGAAAUACUUUAAGAAAACAAUAUGAAAAAUAUAUGCAACAAGUUAUGAUCACUAUUCCUUUUUUCCUUUGGUUUUUCAAAUUUAGGAAACCCCUUAAAAGAAUUGCAACAUUAACAUCAAGAAAAGCAAUAGAAAAUUCUCCACAUAAUAAUACAUCAACAAAAUCAAGAAGAAUCAAGUGAAAAAUCAAGAGAAGAGUUAUAUGAAACAAAAUUUAAUCAAAUUUUGUUUUCUUCUACCCAGGGAGAGGUGGAGGAAACAUCAACAUCAACAUCAACAUCAAAGAUAGAAAAACCAACAAGUGAAACUAAUGAAAUACAAAAAAUAGAAAAUAAAGAAAAAACAAAAUAAUUAAAACAAUAAAUGUAAUAUCUUCAAAAGUAGAUAAGCAAAUAUUUUUUGAUGUUAUAGAUAAAAUACAAGAUGAAAAAACACAAAGAAAUUAUUUACAAAACUUAAAAAAAAUUUAAUUAUCACGGAAAAUUCAAAUAAAACUCAAGAAAUUAAACCUACACAAUACUCAAUAGAUGAAAUUUUUAAUAGAUAAAAAGACUCAAAAGCCUAUAACUAUUAAAGACUUGGAAGAAGAAAUACAAAAAAUAAAAAAGCAAAUAGAUCAAUUAAAACAAGAAAACGAACAAAUAAAACAAGAAAAUGAACAAAUUAGAAAUAUAAUACAAUACAAACAAGAUUUUGCUGAAACAUCUGAUAAUCAAAAUCUAGGAAUAAUAAUACCUAAUAAACAAACUCUUAUAGAAUCAUUUAUAAAUACAAUAUCAAAAAUAGAUUUUCAAAGAUGGUAUACAAGUGUAAAAAUCAUAGUUGAAUAUUUUGAAAUGAAAAUAGUAGCAUUAAUAUACUCAGGAGCUGAUAUGAAUUGUAAUCAAGAAUGAUUAAUUCCUACUAAAUAUUAUGAAAAAAAACAGGACAAUAACUUUUUGCUGCAAAUAAAGGAAAAUUCGAAAUAUAGUUUAAACUUCAAAAUGUUCAUAUAUGUCAAAAAAUUUAUGUUUUAGAAUUGAAUUUAUAUUAGUACAAAAUAUGAUUGAACCUUUAAUCUUAUAAACUCCUUUUAUUACAUUACUUUACCCUUUUCAAGUAAAUGAUGAAGGUAUGAAAACCACAAUACUAGGAAAUACCAUAUUUUUUUCCUUUUAAAUGAGAGUUAAAAAUAUCAUUCAUAAUAUUUUGAAAUUCAAAAGGGGCAUUUUUGAGACCAAAAGGCAUGACAUUUCAUUCAUAAUGACCAAAAGGAACUACAAAAGCAAUUUUGUAUCUAUCUUCUUCUUUAAUUUGAACUUACCAAAAUCCUAAUUUCAUAUCAAAUUUUGAAUAAAUUACCGCACUAUGAAGUCUUUUGAGUAAAUCUUGCUUAUUACGAAUAGGAUAUCUUAUCUAUUGUAAUACUUUAUUUAAAGUUUUAUAAUUAAUGACUAAUUUGGGUUCAACUCUAACUAGCUCAGCAGCAUUUUGAACAUAAAAAGCGGCACAGCGCCAAGGAGAUUUUGAGAGUCUGAUUAAUUUCUUUUUUAUUAAUGAAUCAAUUUCUUGUUUACAAUAUUCUAAAAGUUUUUCAUUCAUUUGAAUAGGUCUAGCCUUAGUGGGAAUUAUAGACUCAUCAAAAUUUUGAAUGUAAGACAAACUUAUCUCAUGUUUCUUUCUGGACCAAAAAGCAUUUGGAAAAUCAAAACAAAUUUCUUUUUGAAAAAGAUCUUGAAUUUCUUUUAUUCUCUUUUGAACUUUAUCUUCUAGAAGUUUUUCUUCUACUUUUAUUGAAUUUCUUUUGAUAGAAAAUGUAUACGAGCUUGUUUUCUUCGAAUUAAAUUUAUCCUUUUAUUUAUUGAAUCACUUUGGACUUUGGACUUGAUGUAUUUCCUUUUUAGUUAAUGGAUAUAUAAAAGGAAAAAAUAUGGUGUUUUCUAAUAUUAUAGUUUUGACAUCUUCAUCAUUUACUUGAAAAUGGUAAAGUGAUGUAAUAAAAAGAGUUCCUAAGAUUAAAGGUUUAGUCAUAUUUUGUACUAAUAUAAAUUGAGUUUUAAAACAAUAAUUAUUUUGGCAUAUAUGAACAUUUUGAAGUUUAAACUCUAUUUCUAAUUUUCCUUUAUUUGCAGCAAAAAGUUCUUGUCCUGUUUUUUCAUAAUAUUUAGGAGAAAUUAAUCUUUCUUGAAUACAAUUCAUAUCGGCUCCUGAGUCUAUUAAUGCUACUAUUUCCAUUUCAAAAUCUUCAACUAUGAUUUUUGCACUUGUAUACCAUCUUUGAAAAUCUAUUUUUGAUAUUGUAUUUAUAAAUGAUUCUAUAGGAGCUUGUUUAUUAGAUAUUAUUAUUCCUGGAUUUUGAUUAUCAAAUGUUUCAACAAAAUCUUGUUUGUUUUGUAUUAUAUUUCUAUAUAAUUUGUUCAUUUUCUUGUUUUAUUUGUUCAUUUUCUUAUAUUAAUUGAUCUAUUUGCUCUUUUAUUUCUUGUAUUUCUUCUUCCAAGUCUUUAAUAGUGAUAGGCUUUUGAGUUUUUUUUAAUCUAUUAAAAAUUUCAUCCAUUGAGUAUUGUGUAGGUUUAAUUUCUUGAGUUUUAUUUGAAUUUUUCGUGAGAAUUAAAUUUUUUAAGUUUUGUAAAUAAUUUAUUUGUGUUUCUUCAUCUUGUAUUUUAUCUAUAACAUCAAAAAAUACUUGCUUAUCUACUUUUGAAGAUAUUACAUUUAUUGUUUUAAUUAUUUUUUUCUUUAUUUUCUAUUUUUUGUAUUUCCUUAUUUUCACUUUGUGUGUUUUCUAUCUUUGAUGUUUCCUCCACUUCUCCUGGUGCAAAAAAAAAACAAAAUUUGCUUAAAUUUUGUUUCAUACAACGCUUCUCUUGAAUUUUCACUUGAUUCUUCUUGAUUUUGUUGAUCUAAUAAUUUUUUAUUAUGUGGAGAAUUUUCUAUUGCUUUUUUUUUAGGUUAAUGUUGCAAUUCUUUUAAGGGGUUUCCUAAAUUUGAAAAACCAAAGGAAAAAAGGAAUAGUGAUCCUAACUUGUUGCAUAUAUUUUUCAUAUUGUUUUCUUAAAGCGUUUCUAACUUGAGGAGGAAGUUGUUGAAAAUAAUUUCUUUUUGCAUUAUUUUAAGGAGAAAAAUAAUCUGAUUUAAUCCAUUGUAUAUUAGGAACAAAAGGAUUUUGUUUAAUAUAUCUUUUUCUAAUGAUAUUUAUAUUUAAAGGAGGUUUAUCAUGAUUAGAGAAAAUAUUUGACUCAGACUCUUCUUCAAAAAGAGGAAUUUUUUAAACAAAGUUUGAUAUAUUUUUAGUUGAUUUUCUAUUUGAUUCAAUUCUUCAUCUAACUUUGAAUUAUUAAAUUUUAUAUGAUGACUAUAUGAUGAUGCAGCUGAUGACAUGGGUGAUGAUGUAGGUAAUGAUGCAGCUGAUGAUGCAGGUAAUGAAUUUGUAAAUUUGUUUAUCUCAUAUGAAGAACUUUUUAAAUUAUAUGCAGAACUAUUUGAUGUAGAUGUAGAACUAUCAUUAAACCUAAGUGAUCUAGAAGAACUAGUUCUACUUAAUUUCCUUAUAAUAUUACUCAUUGUCACAUAAAAUAAUCACAAUCUUGUCUUUAAUCAAUUCAAAUAAUUUUCUGAAGAGGGACCACCACAAGCGGAUCAACACGAGACUUACGCUCCUUCUGCCCUUAAACACCGCUAUCUAGGUUGACCAAGCCGUUCACAGGAAAUUCAAUUCGAACUAAGUCAGGACUAAAUUAGUGAUUAAUUACUAUUCCAACUCGUAACACCACUCGGUUCUCAAGCAGAACGUGGUUCUGAUACCAUUCACACCCAGGACAUACAAUAGUUCAUGCAUACACAACAAAUUAAUUAUGUCUAAUGAACUCCAAGCAUAAAUACAGAAAUAAUUGAUGUCUAAUUCUAUCUAAUGUAUUGCAGAAAUUUAAACAUAAAAACACAGAUAUUUGAAUCUAAAAAUAGCUUUUAUUGAAAAUAUACCUUGAUUACAAAGAGUUGUUGAAUACAAACUUAUUAAUAGCAAAGGGAUGACUAAAGAGAUGAAUACAAAGGACAAGAAUUUUUGAAAAGGAGAUUACAAAAGCAAGAGAGAGAAUUUUUUUAGAACACUCUAUGCUUGUACUCUUGAGGUCUUAGGAUUUCCAACUUUGCCUUGUGACAAAGUUGGCUUCUCUAUUUAUAGACGAUGAAAUCGGACUUGAGUCAAACUUGAGUCUUCAUGCUUGAAAAAUUUUGAAAUCCGCAACCACGUGUUAAGACAGUUGGAGCUUUGGUUUUUGAAGUUUGCAGAUAGGGGAUAAGAAUUCUUUUCUAUUUUCAAAAGAGAAUAAAUUCUCUUCCUUUUUUUUUCCAUAGCGUUUUGAAAGUCAUAGUAGAAGACAAAAAAAAAACACUAUUUGACACUAUUCAUUACUUUUUUAUUUUAUAUAUAUAUAUAUAUAUAUAUGCAUUCUUCACAAUUUUUUAUUUACAUACUUUUCACAAUUUUUUUUUUUACUAGAUAGAUACAGGAAGACAAUUUUACAAAUAUACAAUUGUACAAAAGACUCUUGAAAUCUUUUAUCUAGAUUGACCCAUAGGUCCUCCGUAAAAGAUUAACUCAAGGUCUACAUAGGAAUCAUCUGAUAUAUUUGUAUAUUCAGUUUCUUCAUUUUCUUAAUGAUCUCCAAACUAUUUGAGAGUUUGAAUGAGUCCUUGACGAUACUGCUCUAAAUCAGUAGCAGGGGCUAUUGAAGCUUGACAUUUGUUUUUCAAAGUUAGGAAUUCUUCUUGAGUCAACCCUUGAGAAGAGCUUGCUGAAUCUUUUGAAUUUGAUGAUCCUGGACUUGAAAUUAUUUGCAAAAUCUUUUGUUGACAUACAAAAUCAUGAUUGAAUUUGUCACAUCAUUUGAUGUUGAAUUCUCUAUAGAGAGAUAAUGGAAAAGGAUGAGGUUGCUCUUGCUUCUUGAUAAUAUUCUAUGUGAGAAUCCAUAUAAUUCUUAAUCCGGAACAGAACAACAAGAGUCUCGGCUGAGAGAUAGACUGAGAUGAAGCCUUGCUCUUGUAGAAUUUGAAUUUUUCUUGAAUUUUAAGAGGAAAUGUGAAGUCUAGUAGACCAAAGAAAGUCUACCAUUUUUUAAACCAAGUAGGAAAUUUGGUAUUAUAGUUCCUUGAAAAUUGGAUGAACUAAGAAUGCUGGUAACUUUACAAGUAAAACAUAUUGUACCAAACAUCCAUAUAAUCCAUAUAAUUGAAGCUCAUGGAAUGGAAAGGUUGACUAAACGCCUUGCAAGUGAAGGGUUUUUAUUCCAAUCAGAAAUGGUCAUGACUCUAAGAAUUUGACAUUUGGAAAAAACAAUCCUUUGAAGAUUGUUUGUAUUAAUGUUAUGAGUAAUUUCAACUGAAUCAGUGUCUAAUAAAAUGAACUCAUAAAAUUGACGAGUUUUCAAAGGAUCAUUGGAAUUGAAGUUGACUCCUUGAGGAAAGAUGUAAGGAAGAAUUUUAGGGAUUUCUUCAUAAUUGUACUCUGGCUCAAUGAAAGCAAUUUCUAAGGUUUUGGGUUUUUUGACAUAUUAACUAGCUGAAAAAGAAGAAGGAGAAGGUAGUGUUCAAAUAGUGUUAGGACUAGAUUGAAAGACUAGGUUGACUCUGAACAGAAAUAUUUUUAGAGGUUGAUUUAGAAGCUUGAAUAAAACUUUUUGAAGGUUGAAGAGAAGGAAAAUCUAGACUCAGAACUUGAAAGGAAUUUGAUGUUUGUAAUGGAAAAGUAUGACGAAUAUUUGAAAAUUUUGAAAUCAUUGCAUAUGAAGCUUUGGUUUUCUUGGAUGAUGAAAAAAACUGGGGCCUAGCGGGAAAACCCAUUAGGAUGGAGGAGGAUCUUUACCCUGCAAAAACUCCCGAGUAAGGAAGUCAGGAAGGGAAUUCAACUCUCCUUUGAUAAAUUCAAUUUCAAAAUCAAAAUUUGAAAGUAAAGUUUGUCAUCUUGCAAAAAAUUGUUUUGAAAUUAAAUUUUUAACAUUCUUUUGUAAAAUAUCUUUUGCAGCUUUGCAAUCAAUUUUUAAAAGAAAUUUUUUUGCUUAUCAAAUCACUUUGAAAUUUUGAAAUACAUAAAACUAUAGAUAAAACUUCUUUUUUGACAGUUGAAUAAUUUAUUUGAAUUUCCUAUGAACAGCUUGGUUAGGACUAAAUUAGUGAUUAAUUAUUGUUCCAACUCGUAACACCACUCAUUCUCAAGCAGAGCGUGGCUCUGAUACCAUUCACACCCAAGACAUAUAAUAGUUCAUGCACACAACAAAUUAAUUAUGUCUAAUGAACUCCAAGCAUAAAAACAGAAAUAAUUACUAUCUAAUCUAUUUAAUUUAUUGCAGAAAUUUAACCAUAAAACACAAAUAUUUGAAUCUGAAAAUAACUUUUAUUGAAAAUAUACCUUGAUUACAGAGAGUUGUUAAAUACAGACUUGUUGACAGCAAAGGGAUGACUAAAGAGAUGAAUACAAAGAACUAGAAAUUUUGAAAAUGAGAUUACAAAAGCAAAAGAGAGAAUUUUUUAUAACACUCUAUGCUUGCACUCUUGAACUCUUAGGAUUUCCAACUCUACCUUGUGAGGAAGUUGGGUUCUCUAUUUAUAGAUGAUGAAGUUGGACAUGAGUCGAUCUUGAGUCUUCAUGCUUGAAAAAAUUUUGAAAUCCGUCACCACGUGUUAGGAUAGUUGGAGCUUUGGUUUUUUAAGUCUAUAGAAAGGAGAUGAGAUUCUUUUCUAUUGUCAAAAGAGAAUAAAUUCUCUUCCUCUUCCUUUUCUUCCAUAUCUUUUUGAAAGUCAUUGUAGUAGACAAAAAACACUAUUCAUUACUUUAUGGUUGAUUUUUUUUUUUUAUGCAUUCUUCACAAUCUUUUUUUUACAUACUAUUCUUUUUUUCUUUUUUCUUUUUUCUAUUUCUUUUUUCUUUUUUACUGGAUAAAUACAAGGGGACAAAUGUACAAAGAUACAAAUUUAUAAAAGAUUCUUGAUAUCUCUUAAUUGAGCAUUUCUAAGAUAUAUUUCUCAAAAACUUGUUGAGCUUCCUUUUCAUAAACGUAAUCUUUUUUGUAUUUAUUAACAAGAUAAGAAAAUUGAGUUUGGAACAAAAAAUGGACUUCUGGAAAAUCAUUUGUAGAAAUGAUUUUUUGAAUAUUGUCUUCAACAAUGAGAUUAUAGUUACAAGAACUAUAAAUCUCGGAAUCAAGGUUUCUAGCAAUCAUUCUUGAUCUCCAAUGUCUGAUUUAUUUUUUUGAGGCUAAAUUUAGUACAGGACCAAGGGAUCUAUGUACCAAACAAUUGAUGUUUUCUCUAAUUGGCUUUGAGAAGGAUGAGAUGUUGAGCAAGGUAAACUCCUCCAUCAUUCGACCAUUCAGGAGGCUUGCUUUUGAUAAUGAGUUCAACUGAUUUGAAAUCUCUAAUGAAAGCAUUUAAAACACAAACUGCUAACUUUUUUCCAAAUCCAUCAGUUUGAUCAAGAUGAGAGAAAUUUAGUUGAUAAAGCACUUCAUAAUCCAUGAGGAGAGUAGGAGUUAGCUCUAUUGAUUCAUUAUUGAAUUUGAUGACUACCGGCCUGUAACUGUCUAAGUCAAUGUUGGUAUUGCAAAUGUUGUAAGUAAGAGCACACUUUGCAAGUCGUUCAUAGGAAAUUCAAUUCGAACUAAGUCAGGACUAAAUUAGUGAUUAAUUACUAUUCCAACUCGUAACACCACUCGAUUCUCAAGCAGAAUGUGACUUAGUUCAAAUUGAAUUUCCUAUGAACGACUUGGUCAACCUAGAUAGCAGUGUUUGAGGGCAAAAAGAGCGUAAUUCCCGUGUUAAUCCACUUGUGGUGGUCCCUGUUCAGGAAAUUAUUUGAAUCGAUUAAGGGCAAAAUUGUGAUUAUUUUCUGUGAGAAUGAGUAAUAUUAUUAGGAAAUUAAGUAGAGUUAGUUCUUCCAGAUCUCUUAAGUCUAAUGAUAGUUCUACAUCUUCAUCUGAUAAUUCUGCACACACAUCCCUUACUCAAAAUAUUGUUAAUAAUCAAGAAAUAAAUAUAGCACAAAUAGAAAAUCAAUUACAUAAUUGGUCAAUUCCACACAUGAAAAUUAAUACAAUAUAUCAACAAGGAAAUUUCGAAUUUAAUAAAAAAUUAUUCAAUUAAAACUAAAGAAAAAACUAUUUCUCUUAAUCAAAAUUUAGAAAGUCUUCAAUUAUUAAGUCAAAACACUAUUAAUCAUCAUAGGAAGAAAUUUAAUUAUAUUCAUAUAGGAUUAGUUCAAGUUGCCAUAAAACCUUUGUUUCGUUCAGGUUUAGAUAUCCCUGUGUUUAUUUGUUUAAGAGAUGCUAGGUUCACAAAAUUUAUUGAUUCCAUCCUUACAUGAUUGAUUCAAACCUUGCUAAUGGUCUUGUUUAUCUUAAUUGUUUUCCAAACUUUUCCAUGAACAUAAAUGACCCAAGUAUUCUUUCAAGUGUAACUUUAAACAUUAAAACCAAAAAUAUUAAUUUUGUAGAAGAAGCCCAAACCAUAGCAAUAAUUUAUAGGAUAUAUUAUAAAGUCAUGACAACUCAAAUAAAUCUUAGAGCUAUAUGUCAAUCUGUCAAAGAUGAAACAUUAUUAUUACAAUAUAAUCCUAACAAUACUCAAGCUUUUGUUCCUAAAAAAUUAAAAUGGAAUGAAAUUACUCAAGGAGGUCAAAGGGAAUUAAAAAAUUUAACCCAUCCAAAACCAAUUAGACCUUUAACAACUCCUUUAAAAAUUAUACAACAUACAGAUGGUACUGUUCAAAUAGAAUUUAGUCAAACUUCUAGAUAUUCAUUUAAGUGGUGUUUGUGUUUUUUGGCUUUUUGUUGAAAAUAAUUUGUUUUCAGAAUUUAGAUUGUUUGUUUUUCUACUUUUUCAUGACUUAUUAUAGAUUUUUUACUAAAUAGAAAAAGCCAAAAUAUGUAGCUUUUUCUAAAUAGACAAAAUAACAUAUUGGUUUUUCUUUAUUUUUUAAUACUUAAUAGAAAAAAAAUACUACAAAAACAAAUAAUUUAAUAUUUAACACUAUUAAGCAUUAAGGUUCUAUUUAGAAUUAAGUAAAAAAAACAAACACUACCUUACUCAAGAUUUUAUGUCUGCUAGAUCUUCCACUUCAAAUGCAAAUUUAAAUGGUGUCGAUUUUACUCCAAAAAUUCCUAUUCCUGUAUAUCAGCAACAAGAAUCCCCUCCUAUGUCACCUACUCAUUUUGAUAUGUAUCCUAAUCAAGUUAACAUUAUUCAUAAGAAAAAUUAUAAAAAGACUCCUUUUACUCUUAAUGUAGAAUGGAUAAAAUCAGAUUAAUUUGCCCCUCAUAAUAAUACUAAAAGUGCUUAUUUUCAAACACUUCCUCCUCAAGCUAGAAAUGCAUUAAGAAAACAAUUGAAAACUUCUUAAAUCCUUAAUAAUCUUAGAUGACCAAAACUCUAAGAUUUUAAGUGGUAUAAAGAUAUGUUUUUAGUCAAAAUUAUGCCAAGACAUGAUUGUGGAAGUCAUUAUUAGAAAAAAAAAUUUAUGUCUGGUUUACCAACUUUAUUUGUAGAAAAGGUUAGAUAAAGAAUAAGAAAUAUUCAUGAUGAAAGAAUUUCUUAUGAGUCUAUGGAGAAUUAAUUACUUUCUUCAAUAAUGAAGGUUUAACUUUUUGUACAGAUCUCAAAUUAAAGAGUCUAAUAAAAAGGAAAAAACAAGAUAGUAAAAAAGAAUUAAAAAAAUUUUGUUGUUAUGAUACAAUAAUAGUCCCUUAAAAAAGAAAAAAUAAACAAAGUAAUAUAAAAAGUAAAAAAAAAUCCUCAACAAAGUCAAAAUUUCAAAAAAAAAUUGUAAAAUUUAAUCCUAAUAAAAAUUAGAUUUUUUAUAUAAAAAAUAUUAAAGAAAAUUAAUUCAGAUUGGUCAACAUUAUUCAACGGGAUAUUCAUGUUAAAAGACUGACAACAGAAUCAAAGUAUGAUAUGGACGUGGCGUAAAUGAAUUACAUUAUAUUAUAUUAUAUUAUAUUAUACCUAAAAAGAAUUCACCAAAUUCCCACUCCCCUUCAUAUCGCACAUGGCUGUCUUAAAUGUUUCUUAUUGCCUCACCCCAGCUGUGUCUUUCGACGUUGACUUGUUCAUAUCCCAGCCUGGUGACAGUUGCCACGUGGGGACUUUCAUGGGAAUGAAUUGAAAUCAAUAAAUACAAUACCAUAUGUACAAGAUUUAUUCUCCAUAGAAAGAGGGGAUUUUCACUGCAUACAAAAGCAUCUUCCUCAUUUUUGCUUUCUCAAAAUGAUAUGCUGCUGGUGACGUGUAAACUCGCAUCACCGUUGGUUUUUCCGAUCAGACCAUCCUGUCCUUGGGCCCACCCGCGAAAUUGACCAUCAGUUUGUUCAGCUUCUUGUUGCUUAUUCUCUGCUGGAUCAUCUUCAUAUCCCGGUCGCAGCUGCAGAGGAAAACGAGAGCGAGUUAUAACAUGCGGACGAGCAACAUCAAGCUCCGUGAUCCCCAAACUCAAAACCAUGAAUCAUGUGGAAAUUAUGGUAGAAACUCA